CGGCAAGUCUUAUACGACUAGCUCCUGCUUAAUCCCCCAGGGUCGGAAGACAGCAAGGGUCGGCGGUUGUAGCGGUGCGAUAUAAGUAACUUGCCUUUU
rnacentral:SRP_RNA from 1 species